rnacentral:tRNA from 1 species
GAAAUAUUUUACAUAAAAAUGAAGCUUCUAACUUCUAUUUUUUGCAGUGAAAUUCUGUAAAUAUUUCU